rnacentral:rRNA from 1 species
CUACGGGAGGCAGCAGUUGGGAAUAUUGGACAAUGGGGGAAACCCUGAUCCAGCAAUCCCGCGUGAGGGAUGAAGGCCCUCGGGUCGUAAACCUCUUUCAGCAGGAAAGAAUUCAUGACGGUACCUGCAGAAGAAGCACCGGCUAACUCCGUGCCAGCAGCCGCGGUAAUACGGAGGGUGCAAGCGUUGUUCGGAAUUAUUGGGCGUAAAGAGCGUGUAGGCGGCCAUUUAAGUCUGAUGUGAAAGCCCCGGGCUUAACCCCGGAAGUGCAUUGGAUACUGGAUGGCUAGAGGACGAGAGAGGAAGGCGGAAUUCCUGGUGUAGGGGUGAAAUCCGUAGAUAUCAGGAGGAACACCGGAGGCGAAGGCGGCUUUCUGGCUCGUUACUGACGCUGAGACGCGAAAGCGUGGGGAGCAAACAGGAUUAGAUACCCCUGUAGUCC